rnacentral:rRNA from 1 species
UACGUAGGGUGCGAGCGUUGUCCGGAAUUAUUGGGCGUAAAGAGCUCGUAGGCGGUGUGUCACGUCGUUCGUGAAAACCUGCAGCUUAACUGUGGGCGUGCGGUCGAUACGGGCAUCACUGGAGUUCGGCAGGGGAGACUGGAAUUCCUGGUGUAGCGGUGAAAUGCGCAGAUAUCAGGAGGAACACCGGUGGCGAAGGCGGGUCUCUGGGACGGUACUGACGCGUGGAGGCGACGGAAAGCGUGGGGAGCAA